AUGGAUGACAACCACUGCCCAAUUCUUAGCUGGAAUGUGCGAGGAUUGAACAUGCCAGCUAAACGUGAUGCUGUGUGCGAAACUGCGACAACACAUCGAUCGGCAAUCCUAUGCCUCCAAGAAACCAAGAUUGAUGUUUGGUCGCCGGCCCUAGUCAAGGAUGUAGGAGGAGCGAGGCUGGCUGACUGCAUAGUCCUCCCGGCGAUAGGCACCAGGGGAGGGAUCGCAGUUCUUUGGGAUAACCAGAUCGUCUCGAUCAUUUCCCACGCUGUAGGAGAGUUUGCAAUCACUGCAAAAGUUACCGUCCUG
rnacentral:rRNA from 1 species